GCUGGGUGUAGUAGCCCGUGUGCCUGGAGUCCCAGCUGCUCAGGAGGCUGAGGCAGGAGGAUCGAUUGAGCCCAGGAGUUCAAGGUCAGCCUGGCCAACAUAGUGAGACCCCAUGUCAA
rnacentral:sRNA from 1 species